GUUUAAGGUAAGUAUUAUUUUAUUAUUUUAAUCUAUUUAUAGGUAUUUUAUAACUAAUUAAUUAUUUCUUUCUUCUAGGUCUAAUGGAUUAUUGAUUAAAGGACAUCCAAAGUAUUGGUUCCUAUCAGCAAGGUGGGUCGUGCUGCUUCACUGAUGUCUGCAACAACUAAUGCUAAGACAGCACUGCAAUGGGUUUCUGUGGCUCUGGAACCAUCAUGUUGGCAACUUGACUCUGCAGGUGGGCUACUUGUUGUCUCAGCUCUAAAAUAGCACCUUCUGAGUACUCAGGGCAUUUUGGCUUUGGCUUUGACACUUUAAGUUGCCCUUGCAAGUCUUUGACUUGUUUUCUUAGGUUGUCAACCUCAGCACUAAGGGUUUCUUCUUCUUGGCUAACAUAAGUCUCAGCCCUGACAGCAUGGGAGCUGGCACGAAACUUUGCAUUACCAAGAUGCUUUUUCAUUCUCAUCUCUUUGGCAAUGUGCUUAUCUUCUUCCAUACGCAGAUGGAACAAUAGCUCAGAAAAUGAGGGUGGGUUAUUCUUCUUCUGCUCCAGCUGGAGGUCAGCAAGUAACCCAUUAUCCCAACAUCCACGACAAAACUGGCGUAACAGGUGCCUGUUCUCCUCACUGGUGGGUAGACUGCCUUGUUUGAUCACUUUACUUAAAACAAUGUAGAGCCUUUGGAGGUAUUCGGACGGCUUUUCACCAGCAUCCUGUAGAGUAUUCAGAAAUCUUGCGAAGAGCUCAUCACCGUCUUCAACAGUGGCGAAAGCUGAGUCAAGUAGGUCUAGAUAAGCUCUUGGAGUAGCCUGUGGACUCAGAUGCUUUACUAGAUUAGCUGCUGGAGGCAAAAGACUAUCAAGAACUCUUCUGGAUCGACACAAGUCUGACACUGCAGGGUCUUGCAACAGUAGUUCAACGUUGUUUCUCCAUGUCUCAUAGUCAACCUCAUUAUUAGGAUGGGGUUUCUUCCCUGAAAAGACUCUAAGCCUUACUGGGGCAUUUGCAUGUGCUGCAGUUUCUCCACUCCUUACAACAUGUUCAACAACAACGCGUUGAAUAGCAGGAGGGUUCAAUUCCUCUGGUGUGAGCACCACAUUAUGUUCAGAUCGUCUCUCUGAGUUAAUCGCUGGGAAGCUCUGAGCAUUCGUUGGUGACUGUGGAUAAGCUGAUGACACUUGAUUUGUAGGUUCUGCCUCCCAUGAACUGGAACUAUCUUGGAUUCGGCCAGUUUGGUUAUCUUCUUGACAUGUCAUUGUUUCACGACACAGAAGGAGUUGCUCUUGUAGAAGUUCUGUUAACGGCUUCCUGCUUUGUGCUGCUAGCUUUUGGAAUUCGGCUAGGAACCAGUUUGCAUCAGUUUUUGUGGCUGAAGGCAUGUAUACGCUUGCCAAAGCAGUUAUCUUGUAGGAGACAUCUUUUUGCCUUGAACUACGGUAAGUAUAUGGCAGUAAGGGUUUUAGAGUACUGAGAGCUAAAGAACUUUUAAACUCCACUAUUGCAUUUUUGUGAAAGGCUGACGUGGGGUUAUCAAUACGCAGUACCCUUGCAAUGUAGCCAUGCUGCUCUAAAUAGUCAGUUAGUUCUGUAUCUGUUUCUGUCUCAGUUAACCCACUAACAAGAACUGAGUUAGCAACAUUAACUUCUUCCUGUUCUACAAUUUCCAUGGUGAGUAUACACUUUGAGUGCUAUUUUAGAUCUAGAUUUUGUUUAGCUUAUUUAUAUAGUUUUUAGGUGUGUGUUCUAAUUAUUUGGUCUCACUGCUUCCAGUUUUAUUACUCCUGGCUGGCUCGCCAAGUUCUGUAGCACCACAGAUAUAUAGACCCAAUUACACAACCACUACAAUGAGUGUUACUUGAUAAAAUAAUUAGGAUAGUUCUAGGACCAGUUAGGUUCGCUCUAGGAGCAAUACACAUGGAAGAAAUGAGACCAGAAUUUGUGCAGCAAUAAAGUGUAUUAAAAUGUCAAUCAAUGCCAGUAGGUAAAUAA